rnacentral:lncRNA from 14 species
CUUAGUGCAUGGCUGGCAGGAACUGGUUCUGGCUCCAUCCACAGCCACAUCCAGAGUCUCCCUGACCGUUUUCCUCUGCUUCCUUCCCCCAGGGCUGCUGGAGAACCAGCUGCCUGAAGAGGAGGCCAAGUGCUGCGAGGUGCAAUGGGACUCCUGCGACCACCCGCCAGACAGCAACGAUAACACAUCCCCCAAAUCCACAGCAUCAGAGUCACUCCAUUUCCACCGCCACGACCCCCACCUCCAUCACCAGCGGCAGAACCACUACCACCUCUACCACCACCACCAGUACCACCAGCCCCACUCCCCAUCCUUGCUGCCGGUCUCCGCAGGGUCUCGCUUCAGCAGCAGCAGGAUCAGACUGUGCGUGCUGGUCCUGAUGCUUCUCCACACCAUGGUGUCCUUCUCAAGCGUGCACAUUGACGGCGGGGCAGCCGGCGGAGGGCUCAGCCUGGAGGCCCUGCCUGCCCUGGAGGAGAGCGUGGCGCGGGACGAGUGACACGGAGGGCAAAGCCGACCUCUAAGAAGAACGCCAGAUCUUUUUCCACGAAGGGGGGCACAUGCUAUUCCUCCAAUGGGAGGCACGGGAUUGGGGGUGACGCACACACACACACCCCUGCACAUACCCCCAAGAGCUGCUCGCCGCGGGGCAUCCCCGUGAUGAAGAGUCUCUAAUGCGCACAGGGCUGCGGGACUCGGCUUUGAGAAGGGUUCGGUCAGUAGCAGCCGGCGCAGGAAGGAGAUGUCAGGGCAGUUCAUUCACUGCCACUCAGGACUGCAGGCGAUGCUGGGAGACGCUUAAAAAAGCCAAAAGAAAAUCCCUGAUAUCUGCUGCUUCGGGAACAGGAUCCUCCUCAGUGGUACGAUGGAGCUGCCCAUGGCCGAGUGAGCUCUGUAAGUCCCAUCCAGCUGGCGCAGCCUCCCUGUGCCGCAUUCACAGGGAGGUAGGUGAUACACAGUGCAGAGCAGGGCCUAUUGAAGUCUCUGCCUGCAAAAAGUCAUGCAGCAGCUUGUGAUGAAUUAUAAUAGGAUACCUCCCUGCCACCCCAGAAAGGAAUGCCUAUAGAAAUGGGUAGAGACAAAAUCAGGACAGAAACGUGCUCGGCUUCUGUGAAAAUCCCUGUUAAAAUCUAUGCAAUGUGGCAGACAAUUUUGCUCAUAGACUUUCCAAGCUGCCCUAUGGCUUCCCAUCCACAGGGCAAUAAAUCUCUUAGAUUGCACUUGAAAGGUUAGGAA